GAAAAUGUAAAUGCUUUUGAAAGAAACUGAGCUUCAAAUGAAUCAUUUUCUGAUUAAUAUUUCUAUACAUUUUCUCUAAGAUUAAGAGAAAGCAUAACUUGUUCUUGAAGAAUUAGAAAGAAUAAUUGCUACAAAUUUUGAAUAAUACCAGAUUACUCUACAUUCUCGAUAUCAUAGAAAAGAAUGAUUAAAGAAGAAUGCAUCUUUUGAGGGGGAGCUU
rnacentral:lncRNA from 1 species